rnacentral:rRNA from 1 species
GAUGAACGCUGGCGGCGUGCCUAAUACAUGCAAGUCGAGCGAACGGACGAGAAGCUUGCUUCUCUGAUGUUAGCGGCGGACGGGUGAGUAACACGUGGAUAACCUACCUAUAAGACUGGGAUAACUUCGGGAAACCGGAGCUAAUACCGGAUGAUAUUUUGAACCGCAUGGUUCAAAAGUGAAAGACGGUCUUGCUGUCACUUAUAGAUGGAUCCGCGCUGCAUUAGCUAGUUGGUAAGGUAACGGCUUACCAAGGCAACGAUGCAUAGCCGACCUGAGAGGCUGAGCGGACAAACUGGGACUGAGACAGGGUCAAGACUACGACGGGAGGCAGCAGUCGGGGAUAUUGGACAAUGGGAGAAAGACUGAUAAAGCCAUAACGCGUGAGUGAAGAAGGUCUUAGGGUUGUAAAGAACUUUUGUUGGGAAAGAAAAGAAGCAGGUGAAUACACAGCUGGCAUGACGGGACCUAAAGAAUAAGCACCGGCUAACUUCGUG